rnacentral:misc_RNA from 1 species
GAUGAAGAACGUAGCGAAAUGCGAUAAGUAGUGUGAAUUGCAGAAUUCAGUGAAUCAUCGAAUCUUUGAACGCACAUUGCGCCCCUUGGUAUUCCUUGGGGCAUGCCUGUUCGAGCGUCAUUUGUACCUUCAAGCUCUGCUUGGUGUUGGGUGUUUGUCUCGCCUCUGCGUGUAGACUCGCCUUAAAACAAUUGGCAGCCGGCGUAUUGAUUUCGGAGCGCAGUACAUCUCGCGCUUUGCACUCAUAACGACGACGUCCAAAAGUACAUUUUUACACUCUUGACCUCGGAUCAGGUAGGGAUACCCGCUGAACUUAAGCAUAUCAAUAAGCGGAGGA